UACGUAGGUGACCAGCGUUGUCCGGAUUUACUGGGCGUAAAGAGCGCGUAGGCGGUCGUUCAAGUCGAGUGUGAAAGCCCCCGGCUCAACUGGGGAGGGUCACUUGAUACUGAUCGACUCGAAGGCAGGAGAGGGAAGCGGAAUUCCCGGUGUAGUGGUGAAAUGCGUAGAUAUCGGGAGGAACACCAGUGGCGAAGGCGGCUUCCUGGACUGUUCUUGACGCUGAGGCGCGAAAGCUAGGGGAGCAAACGGG
rnacentral:rRNA from 1 species